UACGGGGGGGGCAAGCGUUGUUCGGAAUUAUUGGGCGUAAAGGGUGCGUAGGCGGCGGAGUAAGUUGGGUGUGAAAUCCCGGGGCUCAACCUCGGAAUUGCAUUCAAUACUGCUUCGCUCGAGUACUGGAGAGGAGGCUGGAAUUUACGGUGUAGCAGUGAAAUGCGUAGAUAUCGUAAGGAAGGCCGGUGGCGAAAGCGAGCCUCUGGACAGUUACUGACGCUGAUGCACGAAGGCCAGGGGAGCAAACGGG
rnacentral:rRNA from 1 species